rnacentral:rRNA from 1 species
UACAGAGGUCCCAAGCGUUGUUCGGAUUCAUUGGGCGUAAAGGGUGCGUAGGCGGCGCGGUAAGUCGGGUGUGAAAUCUUGGAGCUUAACUCCGAAACUGCAUUCGAUACUGCCGUGCUUGAGGACUGGAGAGGAGACUGGAAUUUACGGUGUAGCGGUGAAAUGCGUAGAUAUCGUAAGGAAGACCAGUGGCGAAGGCGGGUCUCUGGACAGUUCCUGACGCUGAGGCACGAAAGCGUGGGGAGCAAACAGG